CAACCACUGACCAAACUCCAGUCCAGGCAGCCAGCAGGCCCAGGGCUGGCCUGGCCCUGCUGCUUCCCUUGGUAGCACUCGAGUCCGGGGGAGGGGUCCUGAGCCAGCUGGGGUCUGCCAGGCCACUCCUGCAGACAGGGACCACCCCACCCGACAGGGACCCCUGCCUCCCAUCUGAGAGGACAGCUCUCUUCCUGGAGCUGGGAUCUGUCGCUUGCUGGUACCAACAGCAGAUAAUCAGGCACACGACCAACUUCUUGCUUCCUGUGAAGUUACAGGUGACCAUGUAACAUGUUCUGGCCAAUGAAACGAGAGCAGAAAGACCCUGGGUCACACCUGGACAGGAGGAGCUUGAACAGCCUGCGCUGGGUACCUCCGGAACUGAGAGCCAUUCCUGGAAGACAGCUGGCCUAGAGGGACCGUGCAUCCCAGAUUCCUCAGCAGCUGACCAAUGUCAUGUGACUGGUUCUGACCAGUGGAAUAUGAGCAGAAAUGACAAAUGUCCUUCAGAGUCAGGGCCACUUCUGGGGUCCUCGGAUGACAGAGGUAAAUAAACUUCUAACUGCCUUUUGAGGUUUGUUUGUUACAUCAGCUAGUGCUACCCUAAAUCAUAAACCCAAUAAAUUGCAU